rnacentral:rRNA from 1 species
GGUGAGUAACGCGUGAGUAACCUGCCUUACACAAGGGGAUAGCCGUUUGAAACGACGAAUAAUACCCUAUGAAACUAUCACUUCGCAUGAAGCGAUAGUCAAAGUGUUAGCGGUGUAAGAUGGACUUGCGUCUGAUUAGCUAGUUGGUGAGAAAAAGCCCACCAAGGCAACGAUCAGUAGCCGGCUUGAGAGAGUGUACGGCCACAUUGGGACUGAGACACGGCCCAG